GAUCCUGCUCAGGACGAACGCUGGCGGCGUGCCUAACACAUGCAAGUCGAACGGAGAAUUUUAUUUCGGUAGAAUUCUUAGUGGCGAACGGGUGAGUAACGCGUAGGCAACCUACCCUUUAGACGGGGACAACAUUCCGAAAGGAGUGCUAAUACCGGAUGUGAUCAUCGUGCCGCAUGGCAGGAUGAAGAAAGAUGGCCUCUACAAGUAAGCUAUCGCUAAAGGAUGGGCCUGCGUCUGAUUAG
rnacentral:rRNA from 1 species